CGCCCGGCUAAUUUUUUGUAUUUUUAGUAGAGACGGGGUUUCACCGUGUCAGCCGGGAUGGUCUCGAUCUCUGACCUCGUGAUCCGCCCGCCUCGGCCUCCCAAAGUGCUGGGAUUACAGGCGUGAGCCACCGCGCCCGGCCCUGAUUGCCUUUUAAAUUUAUCCUGGGCCCCAGGCCCCUGUAGUCAGCUGGUAGCAGAGCUAGCUGGGUCUCAAACUCCUACCACUGGGACACAGCGUUCCUCUCUGGCUGGGGUUGGUGUUUCCUUCAGAAUUCAGCUAAGUGAGCACUGGCUUGUGUUGUGUUCCGUUGUGACAAGACAGCCCUGAGUUCCAAUGCAAAGUUCCACAGUCACUCUGUUCUCCCUCCCCCAGGCACACAGAUUCUCCCUCCACUUGCUGCUGCUGGAGGGUAAGGGAGAAGUGCUGUAUACAGGGCAGGCCUGCCUUUCCUAACCCCAUCGGUGCCUCUUUCCUUGAUAUGAUGUCAGAAUCAGAUUAGCUCUUUGGAACUGAGAGAUGAGAUGAGGCCUGGAAAACUUCCCCCAGUACAGUCAAGUUCCUGUUGACUAAUUCUGUGACCACCAGUGACAGUCUUUGAGUCCGUGAGGCAGCGUUGCGGCAGCACAGGCUUUGCUUGGAGUUGGAUGGUUCGCACCCUGCUUGGCAUGGUUUCUAAGAGACAUCCUCUGAGUGGAUGAGGGGAGAAUCCGGCAGGCCUCUAGUCACACUGGAGAAAAACAAGGAGAGAAAAAUCUAAACCCAGCAGAAGAGAAAGUUUAAGAAAGCGGUCGUCGCCAAUACCAAAAUUAGCUAUGAUAUUCAGGAAGAAAAAAAUGGAAACACGAUAACCACAUUCAAUAAAGACCAAGGCCGGAUUCCAUUGGCCAGAGCUCAGCCACGCGCCACACCUGGCUAAAGAGACUCUGGCUGAAGAAUUCCCUGAAUAUUUUAAUGUAGCUCUAGGUUAUAACACAGAACAACCACAAGGUGGCAGAAGAACUCCAUUCUUGUAAAUCUCUUAGUUGCUUCUUUAUUUCAUCUUCCCUAUUCCAUCUAAUGUUCCCUGAAUUUUACUAUUUUGUUGGUUUGAAAAUAUGUGUGACUUACGUCCUUUAAAGGAUUUGGUUCCUAAGGUUUUGAAUAGACUGGAAUAUAAAACAUUUAUAGAAAAGAAAAAU
rnacentral:lncRNA from 1 species